UACGUAGGGCGCGAGCGUUGUCCGGAAUCAUUGGGCGUAAAGAGCUCGUAGGCGGCCAGGUAGGUCUGCUGUGAAAACUCGAGGCUUAACCUCGAGCUGUCGGCGGAAACCAUCUGGCUAGAGUCCGGAAGAGGAGAAUGGAAUUCCCGGUGUAGUGGUGAAAUGCGUAGAUAUCGGGAGGAACACCAGUGGCGAAGGCGACUACCUGGCCUGUUCUUGACGCUGAGGCGCGAAAGCUGGGGGAGCAAACGGG
rnacentral:rRNA from 1 species